GUAGUCGUGUCCGAGCGGUUAAGGCGAUGGACUAGAAAUCGAUUGGAAUCUUCUCGCGUAAGUUCGAAUCCUACCGACUACG